GGCUGCCUUCUCAAGCAUGUCAGAGAGGAGGAUUUAUUACCCAUGGCACUGCUGUCAUUGGGGAUGCAGGUCAGAGUUGUGGUUGUCAUUCUCCGUGUGACCUGCUAUCGUUGGCACCUGGUGCAUGGACCAGAGAAUGAGCAGGCUCUGCAGAGAAGAGAGCCUAGAUCCUGGGACCAGAAGACCUUGGCAUAACAGCCCAUUCUCAGGGCUGAUGUCUGCCAUAGCUGGACUGGUGUGGCCACAAGCCAAGGAAUGUUUGAAACUAUCAGAAGCUGGAAGAGGCAGCGAAGGAUUCUCCCUCAGAGGCUUCAGGAGGAGCAUGGCCUGUGGACACCUUGAUUCUGGAUUUCUGGCCUCCAGAACUGAGAGAGUAAAUUUCUGUCAUUUUAAGCCACCAUGUUUCUAUAUUUGGGGAUAUAGAAAAAUAUUGCUCUUCUAUGUCGAGAAUAUAGAGAAUUUUUCUUCUAUAAAGAAAAAUUUGGCUCUUCUAUAAAGUUGAUACAUUGGUUUUCUCUUCUGGCUUGAAAACUUGGUUUUAAGAUAAUUCCCAUUAGAAAAAAAUUUCAGAACUAAUUUUAGUGAUAGUGUUAU
rnacentral:lncRNA from 1 species